UAUGACAAAACAGCACAGCAUGUUUGGAGUAAGAGAAAGCUGAAGUCUCAACAAACAAAUAGAUUCUUAAUGUUCUAUACCACCGGACAAACUGCAGCCCUUUUAUACAUAUGGAGUAUUUUCUGGGCCAGUCCUGUGGCCCCUUUCAAAUGUAUGGUGUUGAAACGUAGUAAGUUUACGUCUUUAAGGUCUGCCCCUCCCUUCUUGCAUUAUAUCAUAAACUCUUCUCUUUUUUUUUUUUGAGACGGAGUCCCGCUCUGUCACGCAGGCUGCCAGGCUGGCGUACAGUGGCGCAAUCUCAGCUCACUGCAACCUCCACCUCCUGGGUUCAAGCGAUUUUCUUGCCUCUGCCUCCUGAGUAGCUGGGAUUACUGGCACACACCACCAAUGCACAGCUUGGAACCCUCGGUGGACAGUGCCUAAGCACAGAGGCAAACACAGGUUUCUAACAGGGCCACUCUCCGGUGAAACUGAAAGGUUUCUGUGUGAAAGUGCCUGACCACCACUGCCCAGUUCAGACCACUACAGGAAACACUCCAUUUAUUCAACCUGACUUCCCACUUGGCUGCAUCCUCAACCGUUGAAAUGAAUUUGACCCUGAUAAUCUAAGGAGGAAACAUUUGAUAUUCUUUUGCAAUAAUACUUGGCCCCGGUAUUGUUUGGAAUCUGGAGUUUGCUGUUGAAUGGGAAAGCGGGAUGAUGUUGCAUGUAUCCAGGCCUUGGUGCUGCUGUCCUAAGAAGGGUCAGGCCUGGUCAGCAUAUGGUGCUCUCCUUUGGUGCUAUUUGGCUCGUGUCUUCAGAGUCUGAGGAGGUUUGGCCUUUAAAAAUCAAACUGCCACCGAAACUGCUUUAAAAAUUUUUGGUUCACGGCCUUCACUGGAUUACCUACUGGAGCAAACAAAGUGUAACCAUGUAAAACCUGUGAGCUUGUAUUGAUAUCUCAUGGCUAGAGUUCCAAGGUAAAAGCUAUUUGAUCUUCAUUUGUGUG
rnacentral:lncRNA from 1 species